UAGCACGAAUAGCCCUCUUCUGCAGGAU
rnacentral:sRNA from 1 species